UGAGGAAUAUUGGUCAAUGGGUGCAAGCCUGAACCAGCCAUCCCGCGUGAAGGACGACUGCCCUAUGGGUUGUAAACUUCUUUUGUAUAGGGAUAAACCUACCCUCGUGAGGGUAGCUGAAGGUACUAUACGAAUAAGCACCGGCUAACUCCGUGCCAGCAGCCGCGGUAAUACGGAGGGUGCAAGCGUUAUCCGGAUUUAUUGGGUUUAAAGGGUCCGUAGGCGGACUUAUAAGUCAGUGGUGAAAGCCCGUCGCUUAACGAUAGAACUGCCAUUGAUACUGUAAGUCUUGAGUAUAUUUGAGGUAGCCGGAAUAAGUAGUGUAGCGGUGAAAUGCAUAGAUAUUACUUAGAACACCAAUUGCGAAGGCAGGUUACCAAGAUAUAACUGACGCUGAGGGACGAAAGCGUGGGGAGCGAACA
rnacentral:rRNA from 1 species